rnacentral:lncRNA from 1 species
GGAGCCUCCACAAUAAUAACCAGUUUGGUUUCAAAAACUGUGUCUUUGCCAUACAAAUUGCAGAGUGAUCAUCCCUGGAGGGAAGUCCGCUGAUAACAGAACAGAAAUGAAGCUCUGGAGCCAUCUGCACAUUUGUGCAGCCUGCGUAUUGGUUGAGAACUCAUGAAAAACCAGAAAAGAAUGUUGUGAAAAGGUGAACACUGGGAAAGCAUAUUAAAACAUUAAAAGAAGAGGGU